rnacentral:rRNA from 1 species
CCUAUUCUCAGGCGCUCGGGUGAUGAGUUGUUAAGGAACUAGGCAAAUUAACCCCGUAACUUCGGGAGAAGGGGUGCCCAUGCAAAUGGGCCGCAGUGAAUAGCGUCAGGCGACUGUUUAACAAAAACACAGGUCUCUGCUAAGUCGAAAACGAUGUAUAGGGGCUGACGCCUGCCCGGUGCCGGAAGGUUAAAGGGAGUGGUUAGCGCAAGCGAAGCUACGAACGAAGCCCCGGUGAACGGCGGCCGUAACUAUAACGGUCCUAAGGUAGCGAAAUUCCUUGUCGGGUAAGUUCCGACCUGCACGAAUGGCGUAACGAUCUGACGACUGUCUCAACAACUCGCCCGGCGAAUUUGUGGUUCCGGUGAAGACGCCGGAUGCCCGCCACAAGACGGAAAGACCCCGUGCACCUUUACUAUACCCUAUCAGUGAAUUAUGGGUUGGACUGCGCAGGAUAGGUGGGAGGCUUUGAGAUCGGGUUUUUGGACUCGAUGGAGCCAACGGUGAGAUACCACCCUGUGUAAUCUGUGAUUCUAACCUGCUUCCAUGAUCUGGAAGAGGGACACUGGUAGGCGGGUAGUUUGACUGGGGCGGUCGCCUCCUAAAUUGUAACGGAGGCGCUCGAAGCUGCGUUCAGGUGGUUUGGAAAUCCACCGACGAGUGCAAAGGCAUAAACGCGGUUAACUGCGAGACCUACAAGUCAAGCAGGUGGGAAACCAGGACUUAGUGAUCCGGUGGUUCUGUAUGGAAGGGCCAUCGCUCAACGGAUAAAAGGUACGCCGGGGAUAACAGGCUGAUCGGAGUCAAGAGUUCACAUCGACGCUCCGGUUUGGCACCUCGAUGUCGGUUCAUCGCAUCCCGGGGGUGUAGAAGCUCCCAAGGGUUAGGCUGUUCGCCUAUUAAAGCGGUACGUGAACUGGGUUCAGAACGUCGCGAGACAGUUCGGUCCCUAUCUGUGGUGGGCGCAGGAAAUUUGAGGGGGCUUGGCCUUAGUACGAGAGGACCGGGCUGAACGAACCUCUUGUGAUACAGUUGUCACUCCAGUGGCACAGCUGUGUAGCGAAGUUCGGUUAGGAUAAGCGCUGAAUGCACAUAAGUGCGAAACCUUCCCCAAGAUGAGAUUUCCCAACCGUAAGGUAAUAAGGGCCGUGGAAGACUACCACGUUGAUAGGACGGGUGUGUAAGAGUAGUAAUACUUUGAGCUAACCGUUACUAAUAGCCCGUUCGGCUUGACCUU